rnacentral:rRNA from 1 species
AUGAACGCUGGCGGCGUGCCUAAUACAUGCAAGUCGCGCGAACGGACGAGAAGCUUGCUUCUCUGAUGUUAGCGGCGGACGGGUGAGUAACACGUGGAUAACCUACCUAUAAGACUGGGAUAACUUCGGGAAACCGUAGCUAAUACCGGAUAAUAUUUUGAACCGCAUGGUUCAAAAGUGAAAGACGGUCUUGCUGUCACUUAUAGAUGGAUCCGCGCUGCAUUAGCUAGUUGGUAAGGUAACGGCUUACCAAGGCAACGAUGCAUAGCCGACCUGAGAGGGUGAUCGGCCACACUGGAACUGAGACACGGUCCAGACUCCUACGGGAGGCAGCAGUAGGGAAUCUUCCGCAAUGGGCGAAAGCCUGACGGAGCAACGCCGCGUGAGUGAUGAAGGUCUUCGGAUCGUAAAACUCUGUUAUUAGGGAAGAACAUAUGUGUAAGUAACUGUGCACAUCUUGACGGUACCUAAUCAGAAAGCCGCGGCUAACUACGUG